AACGUAGGAGACGAGCGUUAUCCGGAUUUACUGGGCGUAAAGCGCGUGCAGGCGGUUAGAUAAGUCACUUGUGAAAGCGCCCGGCUCAACUGGGCGAGGUCGUGUGAGACUGUCUGACUUGAGAGAGGUAGAGGCGAAUGGAAUUCCGGGUGGAGUGGUGAAAUGCGUAGAGAUCCGGAGGAACACCAGUGGCGAAGGCGAUUCGCUGGGCCUACUCUGACGCUCAGACGCGAUAGCAUGGGGAGCGAACGGG
rnacentral:rRNA from 1 species